GAUGAACGCUGGCGGCGUGCUUAACACAUGCAAGUCGAACGGAAAGGCCCUGCUUUUGUGGGGUGCUCGAGUGGCGAACGGGUGAGUAACACGUGUGUAACCUGCCCUUGACUUUGGGAUAACUUCACGAAACUGGGGCUAAUACCGGAUAUGAGAUCCUGCUGCAUGGUGGGGGUUGGAAAGUUUCGGCGGUUGGGGAUGGACUCGCGGCUUAUCAGCUUGUUGGUGGGGUAGUGGCUUACCAAGGCUUUGACGGGUAGCCGGCCUGGGAGGGUGACCGGCCACAAGGCUACUAAGGGACGCCCCAGACGCCAACGGGAGGCAGCGGGGGGGAGUAUGACACAGUGGGGGGAAGCCUGAGACGGCGACGCCGCGUGCGGAAUGACGUCCUACGGGUUGUAAACCGCUUUCGCCUGUGACGAAGCGUGAGUGACGGUAAUGGGUAAAGAAGCACCGGCUAACUACGUG
rnacentral:rRNA from 1 species